CCUACGGGUGGCAGCAGUGAGGAAUAUUGGUCAAUGGCCGAGAGGCUGAACCAGCCAAGUCGCGUGAGGGAAGACGGCCCUACGGUUUGUAAACCUCUUUUGUCGGGGAGCAAAGCGAACCGCGUGUGUUUCAUUGAGAGUACCCGAAGAAAAAGCAUCGGCUACCUCCGUGCCAGCAGCCGCGGUAAUACGGAGGAUGCGAGCGUUAGCCGGGUUUAUGGGGUUAAAAGGGUGCGCAGGCGGAGGUGCAAGUCAGCGGUCAAAUUGCGGGGCUCAACCCCGUACUGCCGUUGAAACUGCAUUCCGUGAGUGCGCGAGAAGUAUGCGGAAUGCGUGGUGUAGCGGUGAAAUGCAUAGAUAUCACGCAGAACUCCGAUUGCGAAGGCAGCAUACCGGCGCGCAACUGACGCUCAUGCACGAAAGCGUGGGUAUCGAACAGGAUUAGAUACCCCAGUAGUC
rnacentral:rRNA from 1 species